rnacentral:rRNA from 1 species
AGGCGGGGAUGACGGCAAGUCCUCAUGGCCCUUACGCGUAGGGCUACACACGUGCUACAAUGGCAGUGACAAUGGGUUAAUCCCCAAAAGCUGUCUCAGUUCGGAUUGUCGGCUGCAACUCGCCGGCAUGAAGUUGGAAUCGCUAGUAAUCGUGGAUCAGCAUGCCACGGUGAAUACGUUCCCGGGCCUUGUACACACCGCCCGUCACACCAUGGGAGUUGGGUUUACCCGAAGGCCGUGCGCUAACUUUUGAGGCAGCGGACCACGGUGAGCUCAGCGACUGGGGUGAAGUCGUAACAAGGUAGCCGUAGGGGAACCUGCGGCUGGAUCACCUCCUU